UUGAGUUUCUCAGCAGAAAACUCUCUCCCUCCCUCCCAAACGUCUUCAAAAACCUUCUCCAGAUACUGCGGGUCACUUCGGCUCAAACGAGGAGAGAAAGGGGAGGAAAAAAAAAAGGCUUUUCCUCUCUCCUCCCUCUCUCUUCCUCCAGCCGGAUCUCUCUGGGGUGUGGGGGGGGGAGAUGGUCCGUGACCGGGCCCUUCCCCACCCAGGGGGCCUAGGCCUCCCCUUUCGCCCACGUCCCGCUGCGAGCCCGUCGCCGAGCACUGGGAGCCUGGUCCAGGCAACGUGUCGUUCGCAGGAUGGCCUGCGUUUCCAUGCGCGGCAGGGGCAUGGAGCACAUCCAUCCUCGGGAGAGGCAGGCAGGCUCGGAGAGCUCCAAUGGCCAAGGGGCAACUGCAAGAGCAGGGCAGCGCAGUCGCUCGUUCCCCUUCUGCCGAUUUCUGCGCGUGAACUCGGCAUUUCCUGGGAAAGGGAAAAGGGGAAAAACAAAACAAAA